rnacentral:misc_RNA from 1 species
UCAAAAAUUACUGGUAGUUUGAACUUCAACUCUUCUAGUAUUUAAUCAAAUUGUUUGGCGACAUUGUAUUAUGUUAAUCAUUUCAUUCAGUAUUUUUUUAGCUGAAGUUUUUAAGAUUAAGAAAUAAAUUUACACUGUAAUUGUAAGGUACAGUUAUUGCCGUAGUAUCGCUAAUAGUAAUAGUAAGUAGGACAACAUUGUUAAGGCCAGGUCGUUUUGAUCAAGCACGGAUGAAGUGGCGGUUGCUUGGAUCUGGUACUAGUAGCAGUUGACUCUGUCACUGUCUGGCUGAAUUUCAGCCAACAUAAUACAAUAUAAAAGUAUAACGCCUGCCAAAUGAGCCAGCCCAAAAUCUUUUAAUAGUGAGCCAAGGACAGUGAAUGGACCAUUGCGGAAAUAGGUUUCUGAAACUCAUCAUGGCAACAGAUAUGGUUUACAAAGAUCAUUUUUCAAGUAUUGUAUCUCGAAGUGGUAGUGGAGGAAAGGACAGGAAAGAUGCACAACAAAAUGUUUUUCGACCAACAAGGAAUGGUAGAGCAAGCCCAACACACAGUGCUCAUGGUUGUUUAAUGAGAACCAGUUUACAGAAACUCAGCCAAGAGAAGAAGGCCAAAAAAGUGAAGUUUUAUAGAAAUGGUGACAAGUUUUUUAAGGGUUUGUUUUAUGCUUUGUCAUCAGAGCGAGCAAGGACGCAUGAGGCAUUGUUGGAAGAUUUAACAAGGUGCCUGGUUGACCAAGUGAAUCUCCCAAAAGGUGUAAGAUAUAUCUUUAGUGAAGAUGGAAAAGAAAAAAUAACUUCACUUGAUCAGUUUCGAGAUGGAUGUUCAUAUGUAUGCUCAUCUACUGACAGUUUUGAAAAACUAGAUUACAGCAGAAUUUCGCAUCGCAUCUGGAAUGUACAAAAGAAACAGGAAGAAGACUUAUCUUCUUCUCGGUCAGAGCAAUCUUCAGAAAAUUCAGUCAAAGACUCCAAAGAAUUCAUUAAGCCAAAGCUAAUAACUGUGAUAAGAAAUGGUGUAAAACCUCGUAAGGCUGUACGGAUUUUACUAAAUAAAAAGACGGCAAGGUCAUUUGAUCAAGUUUUAAACGAUAUUACAGACUCCAUCAAGUUGGAUAGUGGUGCCGUACGUAAAGUGUUCACUUUAAAUGGAAAGCAGGUGGUGAGUCUGGCAGAUUUCUUUGGAGAAGAGGAAAUAUUUAUUGCUUAUGGACCUGAAAAAUAUUCUCAUGAUGACUUUGACCUUGAUUCUGAAGAAUGUAGGUAUCUCACAAACAUCACUCGGUCAUCUACAAUGAACAGAAAGUUGAGACGAAGUAUUGGAAAUCCUCUGUCACCCACUCCGCAGAGACGAGUUUCUUCUCCUGCACAUCACCACGAAUACUUUGAAUCUCCUGUAACCAGUGGAAAGAGUUCCCGUGCAGCUUCACCUAAGUCACCCCGGCAGGUCCGCCCAAAAUCCCCAGGUAGUCAAAGCAGCUUACAAAAUGGCCACUUGUCACCACUUCCAAGCUUACCACGACAGAUAACUCAGCUAUAUGAUGUCGGGAAGUUGAUCGGAGAUGGAAACUUUGCUGUAGUCCACCACUGUAUUGAAAAAGUUACACAGAAGGAGUUUGCCUUAAAGAUUAUUGAUAAAACAAAGUGUGCAGGGAAGGAACAUCUUAUUGCCAGUGAAGUUGCCAUCAUGCGUAGAGUAAAACAUCCAAAUAUUGUUCAUCUUCAGGAGGAGUUUGAUGUGGAUAAUGAACUGUACUUAGUGAUGGAACUAGUAAAGGGAGGAGACCUUUUUGAUGCCAUAGCUUCAGCAACAAAGUACACUGAAAGAGAUGCCAGUGGAAUGGUAUAUAACCUAGCCAGUGCUCUCCUUUAUUUACAUUGUAUGAACAUUGUUCACCGUGACAUCAAGCCUGAAAACUUGUUGGUAGUAGAGCAUGAAGACAGCAGCAAAUCUCUUAAACUUGGUGAUUUUGGACUUGCUGUAGAAGCUAAUGAAUCUCUAUAUGUUGUCUGUGGCACACCGACAUAUGUUGCUCCUGAGAUCUUGGCAGAAACUGGGUAUGGAUUGAAAGUUGACAUCUGGGCUGCUGGAGUGAUAACAUAUAUCCUUCUCUCUGGUUUUCCACCAUUUGUUAGUGAAACAAAUGACCAAGACGAACUAUUUGACCAGAUUUUAGCAGGAAAGUUUGAAUUCACUAGUCCAUUUUGGGAUGAUAUCUCUGAUUCAGCAAAGGAGCUGAUUUUGAACAUGCUUCAGGUUGAUCCUCGGAGCAGGUUCUCUGCUUCCCAAGUUCUGGAACAUCCCUGGGUAGCAGCUGAUACUGCUCGAGACAACGAUAUGCACUUGACUGUCUCACGAAAACUUAGCAUGCACUUUGACCAUAAGCCUAAAUCUUCACUCCAAUCUGCAGGCAUUGCUCUGAUUGCUUAACGCUAGUAUUGUGAUUUACUUGCACUAUGUUUGCUGAGCUCUGUCAUACUGCUUGUUUUCCCUCCUUGCCUUCUCCUCUCUUCUACUCUCACGUUAUCUCAGAGUUGGAGCCAGUGACCACCACGGGGUCAAACAUGAGGAUCUACUGCUUUGGACAAAGGGCCCAACUAUUUCAAUUAUCAUCAGCAGAAUAAGUCGGCCAACUUCCAUACUUCAGCCAUUCCAGCUUUGACAGAAUAAAGACCUGGUG